ACUCGAGUGGCGAACGGGUGAGUAACACGUGGGUGAUCUGCCCUGCACUUCGGGAUAAGCCUGGGAAACUGGGUCUAAUACCGGAUAGGAGCCAUUUUUAGUGUGAUGGUUGGAAAGUUUUUCGGUGUAGGAUGAGCUCGCGGCCUAUCAGCUUGUUGGUGGGGUAAUGGCCUACCAAGGCGGCGACGAUGGGUAGCCGGCCUGAGAGGGUGAACGGCCACAUUGGAACUGAGAAACGGUCCAA
rnacentral:rRNA from 1 species